rnacentral:lncRNA from 1 species
UCUUUUUCUUCUCGUUUUCUCUUCAUCUUCUACUGUUUUAUCUGCUGGUGGAAUCCGGAUCUGUGAUCGAUUAAUCUCCGGUGGAAUCCAAGAAUUAAUUCAUCAUCACAAUCCAUAGCCGAUCCUUAUAGAUCGACUAUAUCAGGUCCAUAACCCAAUUCUAAGGUUGGGGUACUAUUAGUACUCCCCCUUUUCCUUGGGGAGUCUUUUAUGGGUUGCGGCCUACGGGCUCCUUGUACUUGCUUGGUCUUUGAGCCUGACGUGUUUGUACUCUGACCUUGGGAUUGGAAUGUUGUUAGCGCUUCUCCUAUAAAUGCGGGUUUCCCCAAACAUGGUCUCAAUAUUACAUUGUCUUCUUUGGCUAUCCUCGAGGAGCUUGCGUGAAAUUUGGUGCACCUGCAAACCGUUUGGUCCGUGUGUCUAAUCUUGUCCGUGUAACAAAGAGUUACCGACUGAAUUCUUUGUUGAUGGGUGUGCAUCGUCGGCUAGCGUUACAUCGUCGACGUUGGUUAGUCUCCUUCUCUCAUCCAUUUCAAAGAAUGUGAAUUUUUCGUGUUUCACGUCAGGCUCUCCUCUAUUUCAACAAAUGAUCACUCACUUCUUGGAUAAUCUGAUUUGAUAAAAUGGUAAAAAGUCCCUAUUACAAUGAUGUGAUUUAUCAUUUAUAGUACACUAUUAGUGUUGAGAAGCCCUUGUGGGUUAUGUCCAUUUUGGGAUUGUGGAAUUUAAGACCCAUGCCCUACCUGACCACCUCGGGUUCGAGUUUUACCCACCCGAUGCCUAGGCUAGGCUAGGUGUUAUCCAUAUGAUGUUUGGAAACCAAUCCCAAUUACAUCCCCUCAUUGAAACAAAUACUGUUUACUCAUAAUAGAUGAGUAUUUUAGGUUUUCAUAUGGUUUUAUCCUUUAAAAUCAAAGGAUGAAGUGUUUAGUAUUUUUAGAGAUUUUCGUAUGAUGAUUGAAAAUUAUUCAGACUGAUGGAGGAGGUAAAUUUCAGAAUUCUUCCAUUCAUUCUCACUGUAAGUUUCAUAAUAUGGGUUAGUGGAGAAGAAGCAUCGACAGAUUAUCUUUGUCUUUAGGUGUUUUUUUCAUUAAUCAGAAAUACCUAAAAUUUAUUGACCAGAAACAUUCUCUACUUUUGUUUAUGCUAUUAAUAGACUUCCCUUAAAAAAAUUAGGAUUUUCCCCACCUUAUUUCAUUUCAUACAAUAAGAAACCAGGUGAUAGUACAAGAUCUGGCACACAGAUUGCAGUACUAAAAGGCAUCCCUCGGAAAACCUGAUACGCAAUGGAAGGGGAGGUUCCAAGUCGAUUUAUGGGAAGGUCGACUUUUUCAGAGAUCGACUUUUCAGAAGUCGACCUAGACAAAGUCGACUUCUAGAAAAGUUGAUCCCAUAAAGUCGACUUCGAACCAGAUCUGGAUAGUUAGGCGGUUACGACCCUAAUGACCAGAUAACUUUAUAAAAAUCCUAUAAAUAGAGAAUCACUCCCAUUCAUUUGGGCAGGUUGAAUUCCAAAGAGAAGUCUCAGCGAAAUAGAGCCAGAGCAACUGAAAAAUCCGAAUUGAUUUCCAUGAGAAAUUUCCAACUUGAUGCUUGUUCGAAACGUCGUCGAACACUGAUCGAGUUCCACCCUCAUCACCAGACAUUAAUUAUUUUAAAUUUUUUAGUUCGCAAUCUUUUCCUCUUAUACCUAAACAAAUGAGGAACAAAUUUGUACCCACCCUCUCAUAAAGUCUAUAAAUGCCUGAGGCUUAAGGAUUCUAAAAUUUUUAUCUCUAUGCAUGUUAAAUUUUAUGAGGAGGUUUAUCUAUCCAAAGAGUACAAAUUAGAAACAUCUUCUUUAAAAACAAACCUUCCCAAAAUUUUACCACCUCCACAAGAAAUUAGUACUACACCUAUGGUAUUGUCAAAUUUAUCAAUUUUUUUGAUAAUAAUAGGUUAGAAACAUCAGAUGACUCAAUAACAAACAUAGGUCAAACAACUUCAACAAAUAAUUCUUCAUGAAUGAGGCUGGAAAUGUGGAUUCCGGUUAAAAUACAACUGUUCAAUCUUCAAUUCUAUCUGCUCAAUCCCUAGGGCAAACUUCUGGUGCUCAACCAUUAGAACAAACUUCUGGUGCUCAACCCUUAGAGAAAACUUCUGUUGUUAAUUAAGUUAUCAAAAUGGGACGACCCGUCCGGGUUUCGCUCUGCCCCGAGACCCGCUCCGGAAUAUGACCGGGGCAAAAGUAAAAAAACGGGCGGCUAAAAUAUAAAAGACGAUUCUUGAAGUUUUUUCCAAACUUGUAGACCGUUGGGAAUGUCAUUUACAUAAUUCUUGAGAAAACUUUUCGUGCUACCUGCAAUAAUGGAAUGAAAAGAAGCAGCAGCAUGAUGAGGUUUGACAGCACCAUUCUCCUUGAUCCAUCUAAACAUCUUAAGCCUAUUCCUGAUGCUUUCGAUAUCAUAGCAAAAAUACAUUGGAAAAUUGAUGACUGUAUCUAAUGGAUACCCACCAAUAUUAACCAUAUAAUCGAUCUUGGUCCUCAAGUUUUUUGUGGUUUGAUUCAAAAUCUUUGGACAUUCUUUAACUAUUUUCGAACAAACUUCAAAUCCCAGGCCAGCUUCUAACAACACGUUAAACCUGGCUUCCAACCGACUACCAGAGCCUUGAAACUGAGCUUGAGCAGCCUCCAUCUCGUUGAAAUUCUCUGAGAAACCAAUUUUAACCAAAAAAUCCAUCUUAUUGAUUGAUUCUUUUCGAUAUAACAAAGGUAAUACAACCAUUGACUUCUGGGUAUUCUUUUCAGAGAGUAAUAAUUCACUCAACUCGGUCGGAUCGUGGAGCAUCAUCGAACGGAGCUUUUGAGCAUCAAUGUUGUCUAUGGUUGCAAGCAAGUAUUCCGGUUUUUUGCUCAGUAAAUAUACCAAGGAAGAACAUGGUUGGGAGGCGAGUAGUGUUGCGGUUUCCUCAGGGUUCAGAAACUCGACCCAUUUCAGUAGAAUCUUCAGAAUUGAUUGCCGGGAUACGAUUUGGGGGAAGUUUAGCAGCAAUUCCAAAAUCUCAUAACGAUUUAGACCUAUUUUUAGAAAAAUGGGCAUUGCCAUGUACGGUAUUUUACCUGGUUGGUCGAAGAGAAACCAAGGAUUUUUUUUUAUCAUGGUCCUGAGGUCAUCUUCUUGACAAUCCAUCUGAUGCAGGAAGAAUUCCAGUAAUGGAAGCAUCAUGUCCCAUCGAUACUUAUAUUUAGUUGACAAAUUCGACCUGAUCCAUUUCUGUUGGAACCCAAAUUCUUUCAACGCCACAACAGUUUGGACGAAUUGCUCAUUUUCGGUAGAGGAUAGAAGAAGAAUAUUAGGGCAACUCGAUACCAACUUGAUGACGGUCGAGACUUCCAAACCUAUUUCAUUUUCAAACCCUUCCAGUUUGGACUUGAGAACACCUUGUUCCAUCUUGAAAACCUCGUGUGCUUCCUUGUAUAUUUUACCGAUUUUGAAGCGGGGGAUCCCGUAAUUGCACAGAACGUGGUAGUUUUCAAGUAGUCCGGCAUCAUCGCUGAGGAAAAAACACAGAGCACGGCUGGAGGUGGAGAGGAGACGCUGAAUCUCCAAUGGACUGAGCCCUGAGCUUUCCAGAAACGGAUUGAACUCAUUGAUCGGAUUGUACCGUAGGAACUUCUUGACCUCGCUACAAACAUUGCCGUGCUGAUUUGAAGGAAUCCGAGUUUCUAGGUUUUUGAAAAGGAAUUUGACGAAAUGAGGCGAAUUCUUACUUAUAUGUCUGGCGUCCAAGUAGUUCAAGCUCCGUGUACAGUGAAAGUAAUCCAUCAGUGCCUCCUCCACCUCCACUCGAAAUAAACCAUUAAACCUUGGAUUGACGGAGGAGGAAGAAGAUAAACUCCGGCCACCAAAAAAUCUCAAACAGGCUUGGCAUUUCAUCAAAUACCUUGCAGGCGUCAUAUCCGACGACCUGAUUUCAACGAACAGGAGGCUUCUAGAAGUUUCUUGAUUGCAGCGGUGGAGAUUUGUCUGAUCUUCGUUCGGAGAAACUGAUCCAGAAUUGAACCAAAACUUGAAGAACCUUUCUUUGAUCUAACUCCUCUCUCCGGCCGGAUCUACUCCCCACGUCGGUCUCUUCCUUAAAGAUUGGGAUGAAUCGAUGAAACAUUGUUAAUUGUGUCAAACGAAUCUGGUCGAGUCGGGCCUGGAGUCACUAAAUAAACAAGCCUAUUUAUUUGAUUAUUACGGGCCGGGCUCAUACAGCUUAAUUAAAUUUUGAGCCAAAAAUGAUUAAAUAUAGUUUAUGAACUAUAAACAAUAUAAAUCAUAUAUCAGGGUUCGGACUAAAAUUCGAAUCUUACUUUGUACAUUUUCACUUAAAUUUAUCCGAUGAUAUAUUAUGUGGCUUUGGUAUAUCAUCUGAAAGUUGACAACUCUACAUCUGUAGAGAGAUACUCCUCCGUUAUAGAAAAAAUAAAAUCAUAUAUUAACUAACAAGGUUAUGAACUCAAAAGAUCAUAUAAUAUAAAAUCAUAUAUAUUAUACAUGAUGAAUAUAAAAUUCGUAUGAGCUCAAAAGAUCAAUAGUGCUCAAGCAUCUGAACCAUCCGAUCUGGAUGGAUAAAUGUACACCGUCCGUGUAAUAAUCAUAUCAAAUUGUACAAAGUGUGAGUUGAUAACUGCCACCACCUUACUUACAAAAAGCUAAAUUUCUCGUUUUUCCCACCACUCUCCACACUCACGUCUCCCCCGUUUUCGUUUCUCCAAAGUCGAGUCUCUCCCACACCGACGAUUUUCUCUUUCGAAGUCUUAUUCGAACGCGUUCUCCCGACGCGGUCUCCCAACUGCAACAGUGAGUCCAUAUUUUUAACCAUUGCUCCUACGUUUUUAUCCCCAUCACUCUCAUCAGCUUUCUCAGUCACUCUUUUUCUUUCCUUCGGUGCUACAACUCUACUAUAGAUUCUAGAUCUCAGUCUCUCAGAUGUUUUAGAGCGAUGUUGUUUGUCUUGAUUUUGGAUCUAGGAGUUUCUACCAGAAUUCGGCCGGUAAAAGUUGCUUUUUUCUUUUCUUUUUUAAAAGGGGGGAGGGUUAUAAUUUAUUACAACAAUUGAGUGGGUUUUUUCUCACCAAGGAUUUUUGGAUUUGGGUUUUUUGUUUGUUGGCAGGAAGUGAUUUGAUAUAGUGUAUGUCGAUUUGUUUGUGUGUGUAUAUUUUUGAGGGUAAUAUUUUUGAGGAUGUUCAAUUGACAAUGUGUUAUUAUUCCGAAAGUAGGUGUUGUGGUUGUUCCUGAAGAGGUUGGUGUUGUAGUGCCGGAAGAAGUUGUCGGUUGCUGUUCCUGAAGAAGGUAGCAAUGUUGUUCCGAAAGUAGGUGUUGUUGUUGUUCCUGAAGAAGGUAGCGAUGUUCCGAAAGUAGGUGUUGUUGUUGUUCCUGAAGAAGUUGAUGAUGUUGUUCCGAAAGUAGGUGUUGUUGCUGUUCCUCAAGAACAUGUAACUGAUGUUCGUGAAGCAGUAGAAGAUGUGAAUGAUGUUGUUCCUGAGGUAGAUGGAAAUGUCGGUCAUGAAGCAGAUGUUGCUGAGGUAGAAGCAAGGGUCGUCUCUGAGAAAGAUGAUGUUCAUUUUCGACAUAUUCUGUGUUGGUACGAUGAUUUGUUCAUUUGUAAAACAACGGAAUGAAGAAGUUCCUAUUUCGAAAUGUGAAUAGGUAAUUCAACAUGUAUUGUCUUGGUAAAUAGUUUGUUGGUUUACGGAACAACAGAAUAAAGAAGUCCAUGGUAAUUCGACAUGUACU